rnacentral:lncRNA from 1 species
UCCUUAGGAAUAUGACAAAGACUAUACCAGCGAGGAAAAGGAUCACCAUUAAUGAAUUCAGGAUAGAGAACCAGUGCACACGGGCACCCUCCAUCUUCAAAUAAGCAUCCCACCUUGAUGGCCAUCUUAUAUCACUUUUCACAAACUCAACCUCAUAAGUAAAUGAUACUUUCUCUUGCUCCCUUAUUAUUUGAGACUUUUCAACCUCUGAGGGACAAUUUACAGGUUGGAUUUUUUCAUACAUGGCUUUUUUCUUCAUGGCCUCUGGGUCAUAUUUAAUGCUGCAAGGGGAAACCUCAAAGCCAACAAUCUCAAACCCAGAUGCCUUCUUCUUAUCAGCUUCUGAAAUGACACCCAUGCCUUCUUCCCCAGUCCCGAUUAUCUGAACACCACUCCCUUCAUACUCAUGAAUCAAAACAGUGAACUUGAGGUGAUUGAUGAUGUAAUCUUCUUUACCGUUGGGUGGUGUGUACCCAACAGGAAACCCAGUCCACUGAAUCUUAACCCCAUUUUGAUAAGCAUACCUCAUCGCAGGCAAAUUAUCAAGGAUCAUAUUGACCUGAUACAGAUCACGGGUCCUCUGUUUUAGCAGCUUUACGUCGUGCUCAGUCAAGGCGGGUGUGGUACACAGGUAAAGAGUCUCAUUCACAGUCAUAUUGAAGCGGUACGCAGAGGUUUCGAUCUCAUCUCCCAUAAGGAGUUCCCCGAGAUUCUCAGCGCUUUUCUUGAUACCUUCAGGGGGUUUGCAAUAAGGGAGACUGUAGUAGCUGAAGGGCAGCUCAGUCUCUAUAGAAGUCAAGGAGUUAACUUUGGUAAUGAUUUGUUGCCCUUUCGAAUAUGUAUGCAUGUAGCUUCCGGGGAGAUAAAACCCAUUACAGGUGUGCACAAAUACAAUCAAAACAAGCAGAGCCCAUUUGAUUGAGGGCAUUCCCGGAAUCGAUGUCGCCAUCGGAAUCGAAAAGAAAACAACACUCACCACAAGUUGGAGUGAGCAGUGGAUCUAAGCUAGCUCUUACAGUUGCAUCCACCAAUUAAUCUACACAAAUUUCAAACAGAAAACAUACUAAUAUUAGCCAAAAUAACACAAAGACUGAAAAUUUAACAAAAAAUACAAAAUUAGGCAUUCGGGUUAACAAAUUUGAUCAAGAACUUGUUAAUUGUUCAAUUUCUAUACUUCAACCGCAUCAGAUCCACUAAUUAACAGCGCAUAAACAUUCAAAUACUCACUCAAUCAUCCAAUUAGCAAAACGAUAACAAAAAGCAUGCCCAGAUCCAAAACUUGGAAUUACAAAGUAAAUUGAAAUCAUGCGUUUCAAAAAUACAACAGAUCCAUGAAAAUUUUGAGAAAUUGAGAACGAACCGUGACAGGUCCGGAACCGAAACGGAUGCUGAGCGGCUGUGGUGCGCAAGAGAGAAGCAGAAUUUCGGCGUCCCCUUUCGCUUAAUAUUAUGCUGCUGCCAAUAGACCGAACAGGCUCGGAGGGUUGACGGAACUAACUACUUUGCUUUCUUCGGAAUAAACGGUGGGAACGGCGAUGAGAAUUAUAUUCUCUACGCGCUAAUAUGGUGGGCCCCAGCCCACUGCGGAAGCAAAGUUAGAUUGGAUCUUGGAUGGGCGGGUUCAUUGUUUUUUCCUUCCUCCAAAUUUAUUUAUUUUAUUUUUUUUGAAAUAUGCACAAAUCAAUUUUAAUCGUUCAGGACUUGUAACUGAGCAGCGUGUUAAGGUGAUUAAUUGCGGGAUAAAUGAGAUAAGCGGAUGAGUGAUUUAUUAUCUUCACAUGCUGAUUACAAAUUAAGUACACUUUAUGCUUUCAGGUUAGUAGAACAUGUCAAACUCUCAACAGAAGGUAACUGAUCUUGUGAAAUCAUAAAUAGAUUACAAUUAAAUUUGGCAUAUCAUGUAAAGUGUAAAACUUCUCAAUAUUUUUAAUUAAAAUUAAAGGAUUUUGAUAUCUUCUUUGAAAAUGCUCAUUACUUGAUCGGAAAACUUAUAAUUAGUUAUUAACUUUUUAUCAAAAUUUUAAGCGUGACCAUAUAAGUAAUGACAUUCUAUGUUUUCAAAAAAAAAAAAGUAAUGACAUUCCCUAUUCAAGAUUAAAACCUUCUUGUGUGCAUGUGAUAAUUAUUUUUUGAACAAGCUGCAAUUACAACGACGAUCCUCUAUGUAUCUUGCUGGACAUGUAGUCGUAAUACAUGUAAUGUGAUUUAGCUACUUUCAACUCUUUAGUAUCCUGUUAACCAUCGUCAUAAUUGUAUUUGCAGCUUCUUUUCUGACUUGAGCAACUUAGCACCUAACCCUCUUUUUUUGCUCAGGAGAGGGGACAAUUGAGAACAAAGUGGCGAAUGGGUGUGUAAUGCGUGAGAAUCUGCAUAUUAUGACGUUGUGGCAAGUCAAAAUAGUGCGCCAACUCUUUGCAUCCAAAUUUGAAUUCUUAUCGCAUAAAUUAAAAUAAUUUACAAUAAAUAUCGCCUUGUCAAAAAUAAAAAUAUAAAAUGAAUGUGAUUUACGGCUUUUUUCCGUUCGAUCAUUCUUAUUCUUUAUGAAACUGCAUUGUUAUCAUCAUUAUUAUAUGCUUGUUAUAGUGGUGGUUAGCAAUUUUAGAAGUAAAACCCUCAUCAAAGUUGUGGUUGUAAAACUUUAAUCUUUAAAAAUAUCGUUUAAUCUAUACCAUUAGGGUGUGAUUAUGUAGCAAUAUUGCCAAUAACGUUGCAAUCACUGUAUUUGGUAGGAACGUAUAAACAUGGAUCUGCUUUUUCUACAUCUAAAACACCUUUGGAAGUGAAGAUUAGAAACUUAAACUUUAAGCCAAGAUGCGUUGCAUACGACCUUUAUGUCAUUUCCAAUACUAUCUUUAGCUAACUCACGAUGCCAAUUAUGUUUUUGUCUUUAUCUCGACCGGUUCAUGAGAACAUGUUCACGUGUUUAGUUCAAGAGAAUGACUUACAUAGAACGAGUUUAUCGUCGCGUGACAUUCUUUUUCAAUAAUACAAUGUCAUGUGUUAAAAAGUUACACAUAUAAUUUUUUAUUGGAACGGAACACGCUACAAUAGCGAUGGAAGCGUUCCGUUUAAGUUGUUCUCCUAGCUCAAUUACGGAGUGCAAGGCUCUUAACCUUGUAGUAGUGGUUUGUGCUAAUUAGGUAGGAGUUUUGGUUACUUUAUAAAUACGAGAUUAUGUGUUAAUAAAUUCGAACGUGAAUAAGCAACGGAAGUUUGAAUAAACGUUUUAAAUUAAACAAAGUUCUGAAACUUACAACAAAUAGAAAUCUACAAAUUACAUACAUCAAAAUCUCUUAAAUUCCCCAUUGAAUACACCCCUCUUAAGACCAUCUCCAACUCAUGAGAUAAAGCUUAAAAUAUAAGCUUUAAACCCCCCCCCCAAGCCAUCUCCAACUAUGGGCUAAAGUAAGCGUUGGGGAGAAAAUAUAUCUCUAGGCUAGAUUCCCUCAGGAUUUAAGUCUUAUUUAAAUUAUUCUGGAUCUACCAAACUAUCAUAUUUCAAACUUUUUUUUUUGUUUUUCACUUAUAAUUUAACUGCUAUGAUUAGAUGAGAUCAAAUCUAAUGGUAAAAAAAAGAUUUGACGGUCCAAAAUUAAAUCAAACGUCUAAAAUAAUUUAAGAAAUUACUUAUCAAUACUUAUAAAUACUUUAUAAAUACUUAUGUAUUUGUAUGAUUUUUAAUUACAUAUUAAUUUUUUUUUCAUAGAGUUUAUUUUUUGUUGUUAAGACUUUAUUGAAAUUACUAAAACAUCAUCAACUAACGGGUGCUAACGGAUUGACCCAAAAUGACCUAUUAUUUAACGGGUUCACCCGUUAGUGACCCGACCCGUUAAGCAUCCAUUUAAAUACUAAUAUUAACAGGUCGGGUUAGGUCGGGUUAACGGGUCGGGUCCAAAAUGCCAGAUCUAUUGAUAAGGAAGGAGGUUGGUGUUGAUGCGGAGGUGGAAAGCAUAGCGCAUGACAUUUGGGCUAUUACAUGAUGUGGGGACUGUUUCAUUCGAGUUUGUUCGUCGAGAAGGCAACCAAGCGGUACAUUCUGUUGCAGCAUUUAUUCAGAAAACUAGAGGUUCUUUUGGAUGGGAUUGUAUUGGUCUCGAGUUCCUUUUUAACAUCUUGGCUGAAGAUGUAAACAUUUCAAUUGGGAUUUAACAUAAAAUCUAUCUUUUAUGGAAAAAAAAAAGAAAAAAAAAUUCAGUAUUUUUCCAUUGUAACUUGGAAAUGUAAAAACAUCCUUGUGUUUUAUUUAUCCACAAUGACACAAAGGAGAGCUGCUUAAGACACCGCAACACCACCAACUUUCAGAUGCAACCAAGUGUAAAGACAAAAAAGACAACCUUCCUAACAUAUAGCAGACUCACAUUUCCCAGCUGCUUGAUAACAAUGUCAGCCAACACUUUUAUAGUUGAUCCUUACGGAUGAGCAGAGGUAACGAACAAAGUAGAAAGACAUGAGAAAGCCAAUGGUGCCAGUUGACAGCAUGAUUGCAGUUGCCAUGAUCAAUGAAUAACCGAGGUAAAGGAUAACCGAUGCAAGCCCACCCAAACCCUGCAGGUCAAAUACCAGGUAAUUGAUGGAGUACAGGAACACGUAAAAGGAAGCUGAACCUGAGGCAAAGAAAGCCUUCCACCACCACCUCCAAUCCCCCACACAAAGAUGCAUGUAUGUGAUAACUACUGAAACUUCAGCACAAACGAUAACCAACAACAAAAGCACUAUAAAAAGGAAACCGAAGACAUAAUAAAAUCUUCCAAGCCAGAUGCUAGAAAGGAUGAAGAAGAGUUCAAUGAAAAGGGUUCCAAACGGAAGUGUCCCAGCACCAAGAACAAGAAGCCAUGAUGGAUAUUUGCGCGCAGGAAUCUCCCUUGGAAUCUGGUUGGUUCUUACUGGAUAUGAAAUUGGCUCAGCUCGUGUGCCUAAGAAUCCCCCGAGAAGGGUGAGAGGCACGGAAAUGCAGAACCAGAGGGAGAUGAGUACAAAAUACAAAGAAAUGGGAAGAGCACCAGUACUCUUGCUGCCCCAUAGAAUGAAAUUCAGUAUUGUACGAAUAACAAUGACGAUUCCAGGAAAGAAGCACGCCACAGACCAGGAAACCGAUUUCCAUCCUUCGGAAGUUCCCUUUAUGGUUAUCCACAUACGGACAGCAACAUAACCAGCAAUAAUCCCAAGGAAAAGAUAUAGAAUGAUCAUUCCUGUCAGUAGCAUUCCUCGUGAAGCUGGUGACAUGAAACCAAAUGCUGCAAAGAUGAUUGUGACAACUGCCAUCCCUGUAAUCUGAACCCCAUCUCCAACCAUCACGCAAAGAAGCUUGGGAGAAUCUGGUUCUCUGAACACAUCUCCCACAACAAGCUUCCACCCAUAGAGCUCUUCAUUCAUCUGAGCUUGAGGUUCUUCGUCCAGUUGUUCGUAUCUUGUUAAAUCCCUCCUCGCAGUCCUUAGGAAUAUGACAAAGACUAUACCAGCGAGGAAAAGGAUCACCAUUAAUGAAUUCAGGAUAGAGAACCAGUGCACACGAGCACCCUCCAUCUUCAAAUAAGCAUCCCACCUUGAUGGCCAUCUUAUAUCGCUUUUCACAAACUCAACCUCAUAAGUGAAUGAUACUUUCUCUUGCUCCCUUAUUAUUUGAGACUUUUCGACCACCGUGGGAAAAUUGACAGGUUGGAUUUUUUCAUACAUGGCUUUUUUCUUCAUGGCCUCUGGGUCAUAUUUAAUGCUGUAAGGUUUAACCUCAAAGCCAACAAUCUCAAACCCAGAUGCCUUCUUCUUAUCAGCUUCU